AUGAACGCUAGCUACAGGCUUAACACAUGCAAGUCGAGGGGCAGCAUGGUCUUAGCUUGCUAAGGCCGAUGGCGACCGGCGCACGGGUGAGUAACACGUAUCCAACCUGCCGUCUACUCUUGGACAGCCUUCUGAAAGGAAGAUUAAUACAAGAUGGCAUCAUGAGUCCGCAUGUUCACAUGAUUAAAGGUAUUCCGGUAGACGAUGGGGAUGCGUUCCAUUAGAUAGUAGGCGGGGUAACGGCCCACCUAGUCUUCGAUGGAUAGGGGUUCUGAGAGGAAGGUCCCCCACAUUGGAACUGAGACACGGUCCAAACUCCUACGGGAGGCAGCAGUGAGGAAUAUUGGUCAAUGGGCGAGAGCCUGAACCAGCCAAGUAGCGUGAAGGAUGACUGCCCUAUGGGUUGUAAACUUCUUUUAUAAAGGAAUAAAGUCGGGUAUGGAUACCCGUUUGCAUGUACUUUAUGAAUAAGGAUCGGCUAACUCCGUGCCAGCAGCCGCGGUAAUACGGAGGAUCCGAGCGUUAUCCGGAUUUAUUGGGUUUAAAGGGAGCGUAGAUGGAUGUUUAAGUCAGUUGUGAAAGUUUGCGGCUCAACCGUAAAAUUGCAGUUGAUACUGGAUAUCUUGAGUGCAGUUGAGGCAGGCGGAAUUCGUGGUGUAGCGGUGAAAUGCUUAGAUAUCACGAAGAACUCCGAUUGCGAAGGCAGCCUGCUAAGCUGCAACUGACAUUGAGGCUCGAAAGUGUGGGUAUCAAACAGGAUUAGAUACCCUGGUAGUCCACACGGUAAACGAUGAAUACUCGCUGUUUGCGAUAUACUGCAAGCGGCCAAGCGAAAGCGUUAAGUAUUCCACCUGGGGAGUACGCCGGCAACGGUGAAACUCAAAGGAAUUGACGGGGGCCCGCACAAGCGGAGGAACAUGUGGUUUAAUUCGAUGAUACGCGAGGAACCUUACCCGGGCUUAAAUUGCAGAUGAAUUACGGUGAAAGCCGUAAGCCGCAAGGCAUCUGUGAAGGUGCUGCAUGGUUGUCGUCAGCUCGUGCCGUGAGGUGUCGGCUUAAGUGCCAUAACGAGCGCAACCCUUGUUGUCAGUUACUAACAGGUUCCGCUGAGGACUCUGACAAGACUGCCAUCGUAAGAUGUGAGGAAGGUGGGGAUGACGUCGAAUCAGCACGGCCCUUACGUCCGGGGCUACACACGUGUUACAAUGGGGGGUACAGAGGGCCGCUACCACGCGAGUGGAUGCCAAUCCCCAAAACCUCUCUCAGUUCGGACUGGAGUCUGCAACCCGACUCCACGAAGCUGGAUUCGCUAGUAAUCGCGCAUCAGCCACGGCGCGGUGAAUACGUUCCCGGGCCUUGUACACACCGCCCGUCAAGCCAUGGGAGCCGGGGGUACCUGAAGUGCGUAACCGCGAGGAGCGCCCUAGGGUAAAACUGGUGACUGGGGCU
rnacentral:rRNA from 1 species